GGACGAACGCUGGCGGCGUGCCUACUCCAUGCAAGUCGAACGCUGAAGAGAGGAGCUUGCUCUUCUUGGAUGAGUUGCGAACGGGUGAGUAACGCGUAGGUAACCUGCCUUGUAGCGGGGGAUAACUAUUGGAAACGAUAGCUAAUACCGCAUAACAAUGGAUGACCCAUGUCAUUUAUUUGAAAGGGGCAAAUGCUCCACUACAAGAUGGACCUGCGUUGUAUUAGCUAGUAGGUGAGGUAACGGCUCACCUAGGCGACGAUACAUAGCCGACCUGAGAGGGUGAUCGGCCACACUGGGACUGAGACACGGCCCAGACUCCUACGGGAGGCAGCAGUAGGGAAUCUUCGGCAAUGGGGGCAACCCUGACCGAGCAACGCCGCGUGAGUGAAGAAGGUUUUCGGAUCGUAAAGCUCUGUUGUAAGUCAAGAACGAGUGUGAGAGUGGAAAGUUCACACUGUGACGGUAGCUUACCAGAAAGGGACGGCUAACUACGUG
rnacentral:rRNA from 1 species